rnacentral:rRNA from 1 species
GAUGAACGCUGGCGGCGUGCCUAAUACAUGCAAGUCGAGCGAACGGACGAGAAGCUUGCUUCUCUGAUGUUAGCGGCGGACGGGUGAGUAACACGUGGAUAACCUACCUAUAAGACUGGGAUAACUUCGGGAAACCGUAGCUAAUACCGGAUAAUAUUUUGAACCGCAUGGUUCAAAAGUGAAAGACGGUCUUGCUGUCACUUAUAGAUGGAUCCGCGCUGCAUUAGCUAGUUGGUAAGGUAACGGCUUACCAAGGCAACGAUGCAUAGCCGACCUGAGAGGGUGAUCGGCCACACUGGAACUGAGACACGGUCCAGACUCCUACGGGAGGCAGCAGUAGGGAAUCUUCCGCAAAGGGCGAAAGCCUGACGGAGCAACGCCGCGUGAGUGAUGAAGGUCUUCGGAUCGUAAAACUCUGUUAUUAGGGAAGAACAUAUGUGUAAGUAACUGUGCACAUCUUGACGGUACCUAAUCAGAAAGCCACGGAUAACUACGUG